AUUGAACGCUGGCGGCAGGCCUAACACAUGCAAGUCGAGCGAGCGGCGGACGGGUGAGAAACGCCUGGGAAUUGCCCAGUCGAGGGGGAUAACAGUUGGAAACGACUGCUAAUACCGCAUACGAUUGGAAUGCCCAGGUGGGAUUAGCUAGUUGGUGAGGUAAUGGCUCCCCAGGGCGACGAUCCCUAGCUGGUCUGAGAGGAUGAUCAGUCACACUGGUACGUAGACACGGUCCAUCCUCCUACGGGAGGCAGCAGUGGGAAAGAGUGCACAAUGGGGGAAACCCUGAUGCAGCCAUGCCGCGUGUGUUAAGAAGGCCUUCGGGUUGUAAAGCACUUUCAGCGAGGAGGCGUUACUCGCAGAAGAAGCACCGGCUAACUCCGUGCCAGCAGCGGCGGUAAUAC
rnacentral:rRNA from 1 species